GAUGAACGCUGGCGGCGUGCUUAACACAUGCAAGUCGAACGGAAAGGCCCAAGCUUGCUUGGGUACUCGAGUGGCGAACGGGUGAGUAACACGUGGGUGAUCUGCCCUGCACUUCGGGAUAAGCCUGGGAAACUGGGUCUAAUACCGGAUAGGACCACUUCUUGGAUGUUGUGGUGGAAAGUUUUUUCGGUGUGGGAUGAGCUCGCGGCCUAUCAGCUUGUUGGUGGGGUAAUGGCCUACCAAGGCGUCGACGGGUAGCCGGCCUGAGAGGGUGUACGGCCACAUUGGGACUGAGAGGCGGCCCAGACUCCUACGGGAGGCAGCAGUGGGGAAUAUUGCACAAUGGGCGCAAGCCUGAUGCAGCGACGCCGCGGGGGGGAUGACGGCCUUCGGGUUGUAAACUCCUUUCGCUAGGGACGAAGCGUUUUGUGACGGUACCUGGAGAAGAAGCACCGGCUAACUACGUG
rnacentral:rRNA from 1 species